rnacentral:precursor_RNA from 1 species
AGUGGUUCACGCCUGUAAUCCCAGCACUUUGGGAGGCCAAGGCGGGUGGAUCACUUGA